GUAGAUCAUGAAAUUUAUUAAUUCUUUCACAAUCUUUAUUUAUAUUGUCUAUAAUGAUUACCAAUUUUGCAUAUAUUUCCUUGGUCAAUUUUAUUGUAGAUGUUAUUGGCGAAAUUAUAACCUAUGAGGACGUAAAGUCUAUCAAACAAAAUGAUAGCAGCCGUAUUAUCAUGAGCAUUUAGAUACAAGAUUAUAAGUAAGCUCGCCACAAUUUAUUAAAUUAAGUAAAUAUUUCAACAAUUCUUUAUUUUGAUUCUUAUGCUUAACUUUAUAAUAAUUGUAGAAGCAAUAACAUUGCUGCAACUCUAUGGAAAGACUUUGUCGGAUCAAGUCUGGAUGCAAAUAACAAUUUAAAUGUCUGUGAUUACCAUGUAGAUCUAAAGUGCGUGUUGAUAGAUAAUUAUUGAACCACCUAAGUGUUAAUAUUUGUUUAAAUUAUGUAACUGAUUGUGGCUCACUGGUCUUCUGACUUGGUAAGUAUAGGUCUAAUGUCAGAAAAUGAGAGUUUGUGCAAAUACUUCGACGUCUAAGCAUUAGGUCCUCUAGAGGAAGAGCAAAAUACAGGGGAGCCACGAUGCACAAAUGUGGAUGAUGGAAAGCUCAGUUUUUGCACUUUCUCUGUAAGAAGUAACUAACAACUUAUAUUACCAUAGCUUAGGAAUCUCAUAAUACCAGCGGAAUAACUGUUAAAAACUUACUUUAUAUGUUAUCAUAUUAUUAUACAGAUUUUAUAGGACUGAUUGACAACGAGAUGGAAGCUGUAAUGUCUAAUGAUCAUAACUUGAGUCUCCCCCUCCCUUUUCUGUUAUGUCGUUUACUCUUUCAAUAUUGACAUGACGAUUUUUGGCCCAAGACGUACGAUAAGACUUGUAUAAAGUGCAACAGAAGGGAGGCAAUUACUAAUUUUGAACUGAGCACAAAUGAAGGGGAAUUAAGUUCAAAUGUUGAUAAUGGAGGUAGUAUAUUAAGGCUUUACCACAAAUUUUUACUACUUUAUAAUUUUUUUACCCUUUUUAGUUAUGUUAUUAUCAUGUUUAACAGUAUGUUUUUUCCAUCAGUGUGGGGUUGCCUUUGUAAUCUAUUGAACUAGGGAAUAGCCUCAUUUAUUUUAGCUAAUUAUCAGAAUGAUAUCACAUGACAAAUGAAAACUCUAAUAAAGGAACAUUGAUAAUUUUUAUUUUAUUAGUUACACAUCUUUUAGUAAAUUUUUAGGAUUUUAAUUUCCCUUGGUAAAGUUCCAAAUCGAUUACUAACAUCCGAUGGUUGUGCUACAACCGAGCUCUGGUUAGCUGACCUGUAGCACCAGAUGUUCUUUUCAUUGGUUGCUUAUAGGUAUGACAUAGUAGUUAGAAUAAGUAUUAUUAGUAAAUAUAUAAUGGAAUUAUUUGAAUAUAAAAAUCAAACUGUUAUGUGUUAAAUUUUCAUAUUAGUUUCAUGGCAUAAUUCAGAAUGUAAACAUUUGUUUGGAAUAAAGCUGACACAUGAGAAGGACUAAAAGAAAAGAAAUUUUAGCAAAUUAUAUAUCUCCGGAAUACUAUGAAAUGCAUGUACUCUCUUAAUCAGUUAAAUAAAGAUACAAUAAUUAUACAAGGAUGUUUUGGUUUGCAGAAUCACUUUACUAUAAUCAAGCCUGGCAUUUUAUUGUAGCUACUUUGAAACACUUGUGUAUAGUCCAGUCCUUGAUUUGGACAGGUACUAAAAAUACUACUUUUUAAUUCUGAACUUAUGUGACUUUUAGGUGUCCUUUGUGUUUGUUGUUUUGGCUUGCACCAUUAUUAUUAGUAAGUAAAACAAUACAAAAGGGGUUGAUUGUGUUGAUUUGUAGAAAUAGCACAAAAAUAUUUAUAGCAGCUAUUAGACAUACUUCUCCUAAUUAACCUUUUUAAGCGAAGUUGUUGUGUACCCUUCAUUUAAAUACCAAGUUUUUGCCUUCAGCAAGGUUCGAACGUAAAAAUUAUUUUCUAUUUUCCCUCUUUCUACUUUCCCUUCCAUUCGUCCACAAUUAGAGGAUAAGUCUCACGUAAAAGUUCUUUGAUAAACCCACAAAGUCAACUGUGUGAAUCCGAGGCUACUCUUGGUAUUCUGCUUGCACUUUUUCCGUAGAAAAUUUACCAAUAACUGGAUUUUCCAUAAAGCAUCUUGAUAAAAGAAUUGCCAUAGGUUGGAGUUGGUGAAUCAAUUUGCUUUAAACUCUCACUGAAACUAUAGUUCAUUUUCUUUUGUAACAACUUCUUUCAUUUUUAGCUUGAUUUUUCAGGUCAAUUUGCUGUAAAUCUUGGUUGCAGAUAUUGCCGUCUGUAUUCUUUUCUCCUUAAACUUUUAUCUUUCACUCCGUAUUGCACCUAUCUCAGGGUGGUGGUCUUUAUUUUUAACAUUAGAGUAUUUCUUGCAAACAAGUACUACUCUUUCAGCGGUAAUUGAUAUCCUUGAUGAAGAAAGGAUUGGAAAGACAAUUGCAAAAUGUUGGAUGAUUUACUGGAAAGUCGUCUUCUCCAGAAAAUCACAUCUAUUUUUAAAUAUCAGAUAGGCUCCAUAUGCCACUAGCAGCUUUUAUGGUUACAAGAGUAUGGCUAGAUUAUUGCCUUCAAUAGAGCAGAUUACAAUGAAGUAGUUUUUAUCCAAUUUAACCCCUGAUAUUUGAGUAUUUAAAAACUCCAUUGAUGGUAAUUCAAGUAACUUGGUCGAUUUAUUUGAUUAAUUAAUGUAGAAGUAUACUUUAAGUCCUUAUGGAUUAGUAGGAGUAUUUAUUUGGUCUCUCUUUAAUUUUCUUUUUGUUGUCA